CAGCCGCCGCGGGAAUACAGAGGGUGCAAGCGUUAAUCGGAAUUACUGGGCGUAAAGCGCGCGUAGGUGGUUCGCCAAGUUGGAUGUGAAAUCCCCGGGCUCAACCUGGGAACUGCGUCCAAAACUGGCGAGCUAGAGUAUGGUAGAGGGUGGUGGAAUUUCCUGUGUAGCGGUGAAAUGCGUAGAUAUAGGAAGGAACAUCAGUGGCGAAGGCGACCACCUGGACUGAUACUGACACUGAGGUGCGAAAGCGUGGGGAGCAAACAGGAUUAGAUACCCGUGUAGUCCCUGUCUCUUAUAC
rnacentral:rRNA from 1 species